rnacentral:misc_RNA from 1 species
AAGCGCUCUCCUUCUUCCUGGCUCAUCUUUAUACCUUGCACGAUCAUAACCAGGGUUACCUUCAUGCAUACCUGACCUCCUCAAAUGCAAAUCAGAAGCAUGACCCUCAUCCCUGGAACGCUUCGCAUCAGUCCGGUCACCUGAAUGGUCUCUCGGAGCACGUUCAUCCCCAUACUUGGCAUCAUUGAGUCUCCUCUUUUUAUCACUUUCAUCUGCUUCACUAACAUCCUUGCAUCUGCCAUGUCUUUCAAAAUCGUCCCGAUGCUUCUCAUCCUUGCGCCUUUUAUCUCUUUCACUGUCUUCUCUAUACUUGAUGUCUCUCUGCCUAUCAUCUCUUUCACCCUCUUCA